rnacentral:tRNA from 1 species
GGGAAUGUAGCUUAGUGGUAGAGUGCUUGCCUUGCAAGCAUGAAGGCCUGGGUUUGAUUCCUCAGUUCCA